rnacentral:rRNA from 1 species
CACGCUGUAAACGAUGUGCACUAGGCGUAUGGUCGAUUGAGGCUGUGUGCCGCAGCAAACGCGAUAAGUGCACCGCCUGGGGACUACGGCCGCAAGGCUAAAACUCAAAGGAAUUGACGGGGGCCCGCACAAGCAGCGGAGCGUGUGGUUUAAUUCGAGGCUACACGAAGAACCUUACCUGGGUUUGACAUAGCGGUGGUAGGGAACCGAAAGGGGACCGACCUUCGGGAGCCGUUACAGGUGC